GAUCAUGGCUCAGGAUGAACGCUAGCGGCAGGCUUAACACAUGCAAGUCGAGGGGCAGCGGGGUGUAGCAAUACACUGCCGGCGACCGGCGCACGGGUGCGUAACGCGUACGCAACCUACCCAUAACAGGGGCAUAACACUGAGAAAUUGGUACUAAUUCCCCAUAACAUUCGAAGAGGCAUCUCUUUGGGUUGAAAACUCCGGUGGUUAUGGAUGGGCAUGCGUUGUAUUAGCUAGUUGGUG
rnacentral:rRNA from 1 species